rnacentral:rRNA from 1 species
UCGUAGUUGAAUUUGUGUCUUGCACUGUUGGUUCAUCGCUGUUUGCGGUGUUUAACUGGCACGUUGUGAGACGUCUUGCCGGAAGAACAUGGUAUAUGUUUUAUUUUUGCGUCAUUUCACUCUAAUAUUCACUAUGAUAUGAUUAUUUUGUGUAUUUUAUAUAGUGUAAUAGCUAUAUAUAUAUAUAUUAUAUGAUUAUUAUUAGUUGCUUUAUUGUGUGUUAUUGACCAUAAUAAUAAUGUGUACGUAGUUCGACUUUUUAAAAUCCUGUCUAGGUGCUCUUAAUUGAGUGUCGUGGCGGGCCGGUACGUUUACUUUGAACAAAUUAGAGUGCUUAAAGCAGGCUAAUGUUGCCUGAAUAUAGUGUGCAUGGAAUAAUGAAACAGGACCUCGGUUCUAUUUUGUUGGUUUUCUGAACUGAACGAGGUAAUGAUUAAUAGGGACAGAUGGGGGCAUUCGUAUUGCGACGUUAGAGGUGAAAUUCUUGGAUCG